rnacentral:tRNA from 1 species
GGGCCCAUAGCUCAGGCUGGUAGAGCGUUCGGCUCUUAACCGAAAGGUCGAGGGUUCGAAUCCCUCUGGGCCCG